rnacentral:rRNA from 1 species
CCAGGUGGCUAUGGCGGCGGGGCAACACCUCUUCCCAUCCCGAACAGAGAAGUUAAGCCCGCCUGCGCCGAUGGUACUGCGUAACAGCGGAAGAGUAGGUCGCUGCCGGAU